rnacentral:tRNA from 1 species
UGUGUCUUAGUUUAAAUAGAAUAUAAUGUUGUGGUCAUUAAGGUAGCUAAGUAGUUAGAUACAA